rnacentral:rRNA from 1 species
GACGUAGGGCGCGAGCGUUGUCCGGAUUUAUUGGGCGUAAAGAGCUCGUAGGCGGUCUGUCGCGUCUGGUGUGAAAACUCGGGGCUUAACCCCGGGCCUGCAGUCGAUACGGGCAGGCUAGAAUUCGGUAGGGGAGACUGGAAUUCCUGGUGUAGCGGUGAAAUGCGCAGAUAUCAGGAGGAACACCGGUGGCGAAGGCGGGUCUCUGGGCCGAUAUUGACGCUGAGGAGCGAAAGCGUGGGGAGCGAACAGG